rnacentral:rRNA from 1 species
AACGCGAAGAACCUUACCUGGAUUUGACAUCCUCGGCCCGCCCUAGAGAUAGGGAAUUCGUAGCAAUACGACCGAGAGACAGGUGCUGCAUGGCUGUCGUCAGCUCGUGUGGUGACAUGUUGGGUUAAGUCCCGCAACGAGCGCAACCCUUAUCCCUAGUUGCCAUCGGGUCAAGCCGGGCACUCUAGUGAAACCGCCCAGGAUAACUGGGAGGAAGGUGGGGAUGACGUCAAGUCCUCAUGGCCUUUAUGUCCAGGGCUACACACGUGCUACAAUGGUCGGUACAAACCGUCGCAAACCCGCGAGGGGGAGCUAAUCGGAAAAAGCCGGCCUCAGUUCGGAUUGGAGUCUGCAACCCGACUCCAUGAAGCUGGAAUCGCUAGUAAUCGCGGAUCAGAACGCCGCGGUGAAUACGUUCCCGGGCCUUGUACACACCGAGACGAC